rnacentral:rRNA from 1 species
UACGAAGGGGGCUAGCGUUGUUCGGAAUUACUGGGCGUAAAGCGUACGCAGGUGGACUGAUAAGUCAGGGGUGAAAUCCCGGAGCUUAACUCCGGAAUUGCCUUUGAUACUGUCUGUCUCGAGUUCGGGAGAGGUUAACGGAAUUCCUAGUGUAGAGGUGAAAUUCGUAGAUAUUCGGAAGAACACCAGUGGCGAAGGCGGCUCACUGGCUCGAUACUGUCGCUGAGGUGCGAAAGCGUGGGGAGCAAACAGG